ACCGCGACAGCCUAGUGAGUAGAGCGUCUGUCUAAUGAGCGGAAUUUCGCCGGUUCGAUUCCGGCUCGUGGUG
rnacentral:tRNA from 1 species